rnacentral:lncRNA from 1 species
UUUAAAUUAGUUAAAAGAGAAUUCAAAUUGUUCUGUUUUUAUCUUAUGCUCUAUAUCUAAAAGCUAUUGUAAUAUUUAUUGCAUUAUUUUUCAUUUAUUUUAUUAUGUUAUGAAAGACCUACCAAGCUUGAAAUUUUACUGGUUGAAAUAUAUAACAAUGAGGAUUGCAAAAGUUUUAAAUAUCAGAAACUGAAGAAGGAAUUGAUAAUUAGCAGAUAACAAAAAAGCGCAAAAGUACUGAUUAUACAACUCUUUUAAAGUUGAGGAAGAAUUUUAUGUGGUAUGUUAAUGCAAAAGGUACGAAUAUUGACAGUUAAACCAUCACCACCUCCACAGCCAUCUUAUCUCAAGCAUUCAAUUGCAUUCUAAGUUAUCUUUAUUCAAAUCAAGUGUGACUACUAUACCAAAAGACUGUAGAAUGGACCAAUCAACUAACCCAUCAGUACUUGCAAAGUCUUCUUUUCUGUAAGCCCGAAAUUUGAGUUCUAAAAUACCAUUAUACACAUAACUACUAUAUCAAAGCACAAACUAAUGGAUUGAUCAAUGAAACUGUCGGUAUCUCCACAACUUUUCAAUUAAAUAGAAAGUUUCAAUCAAACAGGAUACUGAGUGUGCCUACUGCUCCUCAAGACAAUGAAUAAUGGGAGUUAUCAAACUUUAUAUAUAUAUAUAU